rnacentral:misc_RNA from 1 species
GAUGAAGAACGUAGCGAAAUGCGAUAAGUAAUGUGAAUUGCAGAAUUCAGUGAAUCAACGAAUCUUUGAACGCACAUUGCGCCCGCCAGUAUUCUGGCGGGCAUGCCUGUCCGAGCGUCAUUUCAACCCUCGAACCCCUCCGGGGGGUCGGCGUUGGGGAUCGGCCCUGCCUCUUGGCGGUGGCCGUCUCCGAAAUACAGUGGCGGUCUCGCCGCAGCCUCUCCUGCGCAGUAGUUUGCACACUCGCAUCGGGAGCGCGGCGCGUCCACAGCCGUUAAACACCCAACUUCUGAAAUGUUGACCUCGGAUCAGGUAGGAAUACCCGCUGAACUUAAGCAUAUCAAUAAGCGGAGGA